AAGUGGUAGGAAGCCGAAGGUGACGACCUUCGGGAGCUUGCACAGGUGCUGCAUGGCUGUCGUCAGCUCGUGUCGUGAGAUGUUCGGUUAAGUCCGCUAACGAGCGCAACCCUCGCUGUGUGUUAUAUGUGUCACGCGGGACUGCCGGUCUUAAGCCGGAGGAAGGUGGGGAUGAUGUCAAGUCAGCAUGGCCUUUAUAUCCUGGGCUACACACACGCUACAAUGGCCAACACAAUAGGUUGCUAAGCCGCGAGGUGGCGCCAAUCCAUAAAGUUGGUCUCAGUUCAGAUUGUAGGCUGCAACCCGCCUGCAUGAAGAUGGAGUUGCUAGUAACCGCAGGUCAGCUAUACUGCGGUGAAUACGUUCCCGGGCUU
rnacentral:rRNA from 1 species